GAUGAACGCUGGCGGCGUGCCUAAUACAUGCAAGUCGAGCGAACGGACGAGAAGCUUGCUCCUCUGAUGUUAGCGGCGGACGGGUGAGUAACACGUGGAUAACCUACCUAUAAGACUGGGAUAACUUCGGGAAACCGGAGCUAAUACCGGAUGAUAUUUUGAACCGCAUGGUUCAAAAGUGAAAGACGGUCUUGCUGUCACUUAUAGAUGGAUCCGCGCUGCAUUAGCUAGUUGGUAAGGUAACGGCUUACCAAGGCAACGAUGCGUAGCCGACCUGAGAGGGUGAUCGGCCACACUGGAACUGAGACACGGUCCAGACUCCUACGGGAGGCAGCAGUAGGGAAUCUUCCGCAAUGGGCGAAAGCCUGACGGAGCAACGCCGCGUGAGUGAUGAAGGUCUUCGGAUCGUAAAACUCUGUUAUUAGGGAAGAACAUAUGUGUAAGUAACUGUGCACAUCUUGACGGUACCUAAUCAGAAAGCCACGGCUAACUACGUG
rnacentral:rRNA from 1 species